AAAUCCAGGGUCUUUAAAACCAUAUCCGAAUUUGCACUCCGGACUUCUACUGAAUCUUCACUGGGGAGGGGGGAAUUUA
rnacentral:tRNA from 1 species